rnacentral:rRNA from 1 species
UACGUAGGGUCCGAGCGUUAAUCGGAAUUACUGGGCGUAAAGCGUGCGCAGGCGGUUUUGUAAGCCAGAUGUGAAAUCCCCGGGCUCAACCUGGGAACUGCAUUUGGGACUGCAAGGCUUGAGUACGGCAGAGGGGGGGUAGAAUUCCUGGUGUAGCAGUGAAAUGCGUAGAUAUCAGGAGGAAUACCGAUGGCGAAGGCAGCCCCCUGGGGUAACACUGACGCUCAUGCACGAAAGCGUGGGGAGCAAACAGG